GGGUCGUUAGCUCAGUUGGUAGAGCAGCGGACUCUUAAUCCGUAGGUCGAGUGUUCGAAUCACUCACGACCCACCA
rnacentral:tRNA from 2 species